UAAAAAAAUGGUUUUUGUGAAACCCCUUUCCUUUAAUGUGCUUUUAGAAACGGGUUUCUGCAUUUGGAACACCUUGAAAACCAUGUUUUCACUUUCGAAAGGAUGGUCUUUGUUUGGAUGACAAAGAAUGAGUUUUAGAAAAUGCCUUCGAAGAUUGAUUCAUAUAAUUAACAGUUAGUUAAUUUAAACUGCAAGGUCGUUUCAAUGUGUGAGAAAGAGAAUUUUUCAACAUUACUAAAGUACUCCAACAAGGUGUUGGACCAGUACAAAAAAAAAAACUCACAGGGUAUAUACCGUAUGGUUCAACCAUGAAAAAGGUAUACGGCAUACUAAUGUUUUGCGGAGUUGAGAGAGAGAGAGAGAUGCGACUUAUGUCGACAUCAUGGUGAACGGUGCUGUCCACAAGGGCAUCCCCCGCAAGUCGAGAUCAACAGGCAGGUUCCCCGGCCUCCUCUCCCUCUUCUUUGCUUUUCUUAUGUCUUCUCUGGGUGUCUCGGUUUGUUGUCUUCUUCCCGCCACGAUUUGCUUUCACAGGCAUAUCUACUUUCUCUCUAACCUACAAGUCCACGGAUGCUGGUUUUUGCUCCUUUAUCCCCACUAGCUGCCUAGGGACCUUUGGGCUUAUUAGAUCUUCAUGAAGGCGUUACUAGGAAUGUUUUUCCUUGUGUGGAUUAUAAUCUAUCAAAUUUCUGAGAAGUCAGGGAGGAUGUGGGUUAAUUAAGGGUCCCAGCAGCAAAGGCACCUACUUGGGAUCAGCUGAUACAAAUGUGCUGUUCUUAUUUGCAGAUUAUUGAUAUACUCAGGUAAUUUAACCAACUUGUGGUAUGUUAGGUUCCAUCAGUUACUCCAGUCUCCAAAUGUUCAUUUGGAAGAUCACGUUGGGGGAUGGUGAGGUUAUCUCAGCAAUAAUAAUUUUCUUCAUAGCAUUCGAUCUGGUGUCUUGGACAUCUAAAUACGGAAACAGGAUUUGCUUGACUAUUCGCUGGAGAACUGCUGGUGAUUUGCCUUCCGUUUAUAUGGAUAAUAGAUGGAGCUGCCAUCUUAUGGUUAUAGUUGUUGAUGACCUUGGACGAAAGAUGAAUUACCUGGUGUUCUUUGGAUGCAACAUGCAGAAAGCACAUAGUUUUGUGUUACAGGAUAAUGCAUGUUGAUACUCAGAUUAUUUGCUGAAAGGAGAAUGUGAUCAGAAUGAAGUUAAUCUGGUUCUGUUUCUGCUGCUAAUUAGGUCGUUGAUAUUUUGAUCAAGCUAUUGCGUUUCAGUUCAGGAACGAUGUAGAAUCAAUGGUUUCACAAAACUAAGUAGCUCAUAUUCACGUAAACUGUGAUUCUUACGACCUUUUCUUACGACCUUCACAACUGCAUAAGAGAGAAAGAGAAGGCUACGCUUAUUAUCAUCUAGGACCUUAGACGCGGGUCGUUCAAAGAUGAAAUGCCAUUUGAGAAUGCUUGUGCCAUUGCUUAAGGCGUCUAGCCUUGUCUAGUGACUCAAUAGCGUAGGCAUUUUUCUAUUUUUCUCCUACCGGCCUAGUUUGUUUCUUUUUCAGUUUUUCUCCUUUUUCUCUUUUCCUUCUCCUUUCUCGCUGUAUGAGAGUUUUUUUUUUUUUCAUUUUUUCUUCAGACGUUCUUAUGCAGAUUGUAUUGGAAGCAUGGAUGUAUGCAGAUUGUAUAGAUAGUAUGGAUGUGUGCAUGUACACAUUUAUGACUUUAUGUACUUAUAACUUUUUCAUAGUUAUAGUUUGUAAACGGUUAUACUUUGAAUAGGUUUUAUCUUUUAUGCUUAUAGGUUUCUUAACUGCUUUGUGCAUAAUAUAUAUGUUGUCUUCCUAGCACUUUAUCUUGCUUAUUAGAUUAUUAUACAAGACUGUUUUAAGAACAAGGUUAACAUUGGAGCUGCGGUUAUGUUGAGGAUUUAUGAUCUCUCCUUUUUAAGAAAAAUUUAAAUGAGUAGUUUGGUAUUCGUUUAGACUUUUAGAUUUGGAAGGGAAAAUGCAGCAUUUAGUAAUUGGUACUUGGGAAAUUAGAAGAUUUUGCAUGCUCUAAAGUAUCCAAAGCAGUGAUGUUAUGCUAAACAACUUUUAAGCAUCAUUUUUUAAUUUCAUUAUAUUCGCUGUUUCAAACUUAUACUUGUGUUUGUAACUUUAUUAUCAUGUCAUGAAAUGCUUAUUUUGAGUGCGAUCAUUCAUUUUAAUUGCUUUGUAUUAUAAGUUCAUUGAAGAAAUGCUUCAAGUUUUGUUGUUAAUUGGAAUACUAAUAUUGCUUUCUAUUAGUUAAAACUGCUUAACGUGCACAACUGCUUAACGUGCCUAGUCUCGCCUAGGCUCUUUGCUUAGCUUGCAGGCUGGGCUGCAACUGGCGUUUUAGAGCAGCUCUUAACCAGGUAUACGCUUGAUGAAAUUUACGUGUAAUUCUAUAUAUUAGAAUAAGAAUGGAGCAUCCGGGUGACGAAAGUCUCAGUCUUCUCAAAUAUAACUGAAGUCGUUAUGCUACUGCCAAAGCGGGAUUUGUUGGUGUAUUAGGCUAGGAACAGUAUCAUCUCCGGAAUGCAGGUCCUCGUGGAUCAUGUUCUCAGCCGUCAAGGUGCAGGGAAGAGUUUGAUCCGGAAUGACAAUUUGAAGGCAGGGGCGAAGUUUCGCUGCGAGAAAAUGAGAACCAUACGACAGCCUGAGGGACCAAGGUCUGGGUUGUGGUUGGGAGAGCAAAAUUGGAGACCGUGACGCCAAUCCCAUAUAUAUGAUGUCGUCAAUGAUCUCGAGCGCGGAUACGGAUAAUUCUUCUUCCGUAAGAUUUGAGUGCUCGGUUGCUCUUCCCUUCUAACAAUCUCCGAUUUUUGUAUGUGAUUUCAGAAUGAUCUUGUUUAAGUUCCAUGAUCCUGUAUUGGCUCUGGCUAUGAAUUCCUUUGUCUUCAUUGUAAGUUGGAGGGACAUCCAUAAUACUUUCUUGAUUAUGUUGAUUUU